rnacentral:sRNA from 1 species
GCUGGGCAUGGUGGCACAUACCUGUAAUCCCAGCAGCCCAGGAGGCUGAGGCAGGAGGAUCAUAAGUUCAAAGCCAGCCUCAGCAACAGCGAGGUGCUAAGCAACUCCAUGAGACCUUGUCUCUA